rnacentral:rRNA from 1 species
UACGUAGGGCGCAAGCGUUGUCCGGAAUCAUUGGGCGUAAAGCGCGUGUAGGCGGUCCGGUAAGUCCGCUGUGAAAGUCGGGGGCUCAACCCUCGGAUGCCGGUGGAUACUGUCGGGCUUGAGUACGGAAGAGGCGAGUGGAAUUCCUGGUGUAGCGGUGAAAUGCGCAGAUAUCAGGAGGAACACCUAUUGCGAAGGCAGCUCGCUGGGACGUAACUGACGCUGAGACGCGAAAGCGUGGGGAGCAAACAGG